rnacentral:rRNA from 1 species
UACGGAGGGUGCAAACGUUGCCCGGAAUCAUUGGGCGUAAAGCGCACGUAGGCGGCCCAGCAAGUCGGGUGUGAAAGCCCUCGGCUUAACCGAGGAAGUGCAUUCGAAACUACUGAGCUUGAAUACUGGAGAGGAUCGCGGAAUUCCCGGUGUAGAGGUGAAAUUCGUAGAUAUCGGGAGGAACACCAGUGGCGAAGGCGGCGAUCUGGACAGAUAUUGACGCUGAGGUGCGAAAGCGUGGGGAGCAAACAGG